AUUAUUUGACUUUUCAACAUUUGUCUUGGAAUUACCUACGCCCAAAUCACCCACCUUGGCACUCUCGGCUACUUCAUUCUCUUUAUAUACUCCACAUGCGUAUUAUAUCAAACCAGAAUCAAGAACUCGUAAAAGUAACUUCAUUACUUUGUAAUUUUGAUUCCGGAAGUGGAUAUCUUUUCUGACUUGAAGAUUAUGGAAAUUAGCUGCGCAGGUUUUUAGGCCAAUUUCAGUUGAAUAUAU
rnacentral:lncRNA from 1 species